GGUUUGGCACCUCGAUGUCGGCUCAUCACAUCCUGGGGCUGGAGAAGGUCCCAAGGGUUGGGCUGUUCGCCCAUUAAAGUGGUACGUGAGCUGGGUUUAGAACGUCGUAAGACAGUUCGGUCUCUAUCCGCCGUGGGCGUAGGAAACUUGAGGGAUGCUGUUCCCAGUACGAGAGGACCGGAACGGACGAACCUCUGGUGCACCAGUUGUCUCAUCAGAGGCAUCGCUGGGUAGCUACGUUCGGUUGGGAUAAGCGCUGAAAGCAUAUAAGCGCGAAACCCUUCCCAAGAUAAGGUUUCCCUUCCCCUUCGGGGGAGUAAAGGCUUCCCGUAGACUACGGGAUUGAUAGGUCACAGGUGUAAGUUCGGUAACGAAUUCAGCCGAGUGAUACUAAUCAGCCGUCAGGCUUUUCCUCA
rnacentral:rRNA from 1 species